UACGUAGGUGGCGAGCGUUGUCCGGAUUUAUUGGGCGUAAAGGGCGCGUAGGCGGCCAUUCAAGUGACGGGUGAAAGCCCUCGGCUUAACCGAGGAACUGCCUGUCAGACUGGAUGGCUUGAGACCGGGAGAGGUGAGUGGAAUUCCCAGUGUAGCGGUGAAAUGCGUAGAUAUUGGGAGGAACACCAGUGGCGAAGGCGGCUCACUGGACCGGAACUGGACGCUGAGGCGCGAAAGCGGUGGGGAGCAAACAGG
rnacentral:rRNA from 1 species